UAUGAAGCUAGCAUUAGGAUUAAGGUUGUGGUUUAGGUUAGGGUUGAACUGGGAUGUGGAUAUGAAGCUAGCAUUAGGAUUAAGGUUGUGGUUUAGGUUAGGGUUGAAUUGGGAUGUGGACAUGAAGCUAGCAUUAGGAUUAUGGUUGUGGUUUAGGUUAGGGUUGAACUGGGAUGUGGAUAUGAAGCUAGCAUUAGGAUUAAGGUUGUGGUUUAGGUUAGGGUUGAACUGGGAUGUGGAUAUGAAGCUUGGGUUAGGGUAAAUGUUAGGGUUUAGGUUAGGGUUGAACUGGGAUGUGGAUAUGAAGCUAGCAUUAGGAUUAAGGUUGUGGUUUAGGUUAGGGUUGAACUGGGAUGUGGAUAUGAAGCUUGGGUUAGGGUAAAUGUUAGGGUUAAAAGUCGAGCGUCUUUCA